CCUGAUAGCUCAGUCAGUAAAGAAUUUGCCUGCAAUGCAGAAGACCCUGGUUCAAUUCCUGGGUCGGGA
rnacentral:tRNA from 1 species